rnacentral:rRNA from 1 species
AUUGAACGCUGGCGGCGUGCCUAACACAUGCAAGUCGAGCGGUAACAGGUGUAGCAAUACAUGCUGACGAGCGGCGAACGGGUGAGUAAUGCUUCGGAAUCUACCCAAUGGUGGGGAAUAACCAGCCGAAAGGUUGGCUAAUACCGCAUACGUCCCACGGGAGAAAGCAGGGGAUCGCAAGACCUUGCGCCAAUGGAUGAGCCGAAGUCGGAUUAGCUAGUUGGAGGGUAACGGCCUACCAAGGCGACGAUCCGUAGCUGGUCUGAGAGGACGACCAGCCACACUGGGACUGAGACACGGCCCAGACUCCUACGGGAGCAGCAGUGGGGAAUAUUGGACAAUGGGGGAAACCCUGAUCCAGCGACGCCGCGUGUGUGAAGAAGGCCUGCGGGUUGUAAAGCACUUUUAGUGGGGAUGAAAUGUUCAGGGUUAACACCUCUGGA